GCGCUAAUGAGAGAUUCUACAGUUUCUUCAAGACCAAACAUACUCGAAGACUUACCAAGAGUGACGAGACAUCUAAGCUAGAGAUGAAGUACUUUCAGAGAAAGGCCAUGGUGUCUUCACUCUAGCUUCUUUUGACAAAGGUGAUUUUGUGGCUGGGUACCAAGGAGAAAUAAUUGAUUUCAUUGAAUCUCAGAAAAGAAGAAGAAUUUACCAUGAUGCAUGUGGUGUAUUUGUUUGACUUCCUUUGAAAGGGAAAAACACGGUGUAUUGAUGCUGCAAAAGAAGAUGGAUCUUUUGGUAGGCUCAUUAAUCAUAACCACAAGCACCCAAAUUGCAGAAUGAAGAAGAUUGAAUGGAUGGGAGGCCACAUCUUUGUCUGUUUGCUUUAAAAGACAUUAAAGAAGGGCAGGAAAUUACCUAUGAUUAUGGAGGAACAGACUGGCCUUGGCGUAGGAAGUCUGCAGGUUAUGGAGGACAACCCUGCUGAGAACAAUGUCCAAGAGAAACAGCAGCCAUCACAGUCUACAUCUCUUCUGGAUCGUAAUAGUGCUACUAGUGCAUCAGUGACCGAACAGUGUACUAAAUCUCUUGAAGACCCAGACCUGGACAGCUGCCCUCCCAGACCACUGCCUCAGAGACACAGACGACCACUCCAACCGCACGCGUCUACACCCCAACCAUCCACAGCAGCUGAGCGGGACCCUCCUCCCUGUUAUGCGGGACCUGGAGCCACUAUGCCUUACUCCCCUGUGUGCUAUCACACCUGUGGCCGAAAGCAAAAGGGGAUUCAGAAGGAAAUGAGACCAGAUAAUCCAAUUUCCAACACAUUCAAUGGACAUGACUAAAAUCUCUAUGUGCAGACAAGAAGAUGACGAAACAGUCUCUAGAUAUUUUGCACGAUUAACAGAAGUGCAUGAUCCUCACCAUGGUCUCGAGCGCCCAGUGUACUUGGCCACAGCGGAUAUUACACCCUAUGAGGCACACUUGAGAAAGUUUCAUGAAUGGAUUAAAAGACGACAUUGCAGCAAUAGUCAAACAAACAUGCAUUACUUGGGACACUGGAAAGUUAUCUCUGAAUGAACAACAUGCUGUGCACGCAGAAAAGUUGUGGAAUGUUGCAAGACAAAAAGAGAAAGAAACCCUGGAUUCCAGAGUGGAUGUUUCCUGUGUGGAAAAACAGACCACUGGAUACGAGACUGUCCGAAGAGACAUCGCAGGGGAGAAGCGAACACAGAAGCAUGAGGUUUGGUUGGGUCAGGGACGGGUGAGUAGCCAGGGAAGGGUAAGUCUGAUCUUUUUGUGCAAUUCAAUGAAGAAAAGCUUAAGCUAACUGUUCCAUUUCCACCUGUCACUAAUACAGUGUCUAGCAAAGUAUCAGGGGUUGCUAUUACACCUAUGAAUGAAACUUAGGCUAAAUAUCAUGAACUGGAAUUUAAGAAAAUGCCUGUGAUUACGUUAAUUGUUUAGCAGUUUCUAGUUGACUCAGGAGCAGGGCGUUCUGUGAUAUGAUUGUGUGAAUUUUCUGUUUCACCUAGAAUGAGCUACACAGAGUCACUCUCUGUGUACUACAAGGAGCAUUCAGGGAUGUCAGUAAUUGAGACAUUCUCUGUGCCCUUAAAAUGUGAAAUUGUAACUACACAAACAAUUUGAAUUCUCUUUUUAAAUCUCUGAGUGUUGCCCAAUAAAUCUGUUGGGUCGAGAUUUGAUGUGCAAACUAAAUUUAAAUCUGAUCAGCACAUCACUAGGCCUUAGGAUAGAAUAGGAAGAUAACUACUGCUUUGUAAAAUAUGAUCCCAGACCCCUGCUCUGUGUAUGAAUGGAAACUGAGUAAUUCCUCUCUCACUGAACCACAUGAGCGUCAUGAGAAAGAAUGGUACAGGAAGUUAGAUAGGCCAGACCUACUGAUAUUGAAGUGUAGGGUAUGGAAUGAACACAGAUGUGCUGUACAGUUGUGGCAUUUAAGAAUGCAUGUUAGAGGGACAGGAAUCCCACAAAAAUCUUAAGAUUCUACAAAUGCGCUCUUCAACUUACACACUUGUUUUGAGUGUAAUGGAUAAAACAUAUUGUGCCUAAAAGCUAUUUUAAGCCAUUGUUAUAAUAUUAUAGCAAUAUGUAAAAAUUUGUUCAUGGACUGGUCAAAUAGUUUUUACAUCAUAAGCGUUUGAUCGUUACAGUAGCGCACAUAUUAUCUUGUCACGUUUACAGUAUAUAUUCUCUAAAACACUUCUAAAUAUGAAAUAUAUCUAUCUAUCUGAACAUGGUCUUUAACAAUCACUGCGGCAUCUCACUCCUGCUGCUAUGUACUGUGAACUCGUGCGCUCUGAAGCUCGCCGGACCAAACAAGCAGAUACGUGUCCGCUGACUUUUGUUACUUAAGGGUCGGUGCAAGUUUUUGAUUUGAUAUCUUUUAUUAGCUGAUUUUUAAGAAAUGUAAAACUUCUGUCAGGGAAACCUGUUUGAUGUCUGUAAGCAAAGACCUAUCCACACCUAUUCACAUUUAUUUGGUGAAAAACUAUAAGUCCACCUAGAGUAUAAAUUUUAAUAAAAUAACAUUUAGUAAAAUUAAUACACGGAUGCUACAGUAUUGGGACAAUAAAAACUUUCCCUUACCGACCCCUAACCCUACCCAGUAAAUACUUUAUUCUUAAUAAAGACUCGAUAGACUCGAUAAGGAUCGUUUGAUCCUUAUCUGCAAUUAUCUUGUCAUGUUCAUAUUUUUGUCUAAAACGCAUCUAAAAAUGAAAUAUAUCUACAGUGAACAUGUUAAAUAAAAAAAAUGGAAUGUAUGUCCCACAAAGCAGAAGCUUCUGCCUAAUAUAAGUUAUGUGAUUCUCACGAAUUUCAAACAUGAAAAUAUUAAAAAUGCUUUUUUUUUCAGACAUUAAGAACAAAGUCUGGAGUAUUUGUGCACAUUAAUUUAAAAACUUUUACUUAUCAUUUAGCACCUUUUUGAACAUAAUUUCCAAAAUAAGUCCUAAAAAAUCUCAUUACCACAACACUGUGAAAACAUUAACAUUGAUAGAAAAGCAAAUACAUUUUCACAGUUUUAAAAAUGGAUUAUUAAGUCAUGCACAGUUACUUCAAGUUCUGAAAUAAUAUUUAUUUUUAAUUUAACAGUUUUUAAAAUUUUGACUGAUUUCUCUCUACCACAACACCUUCCACAAUUUACCAUUUUACCAAAUUACCAAUAACCAUUUUUUCUUUAUAUUUUGAAGAAACCUGACAUUUUUUCAAAAUGACAUGACAAACCUGAGAGAACAUAAUUUUAAGAUUCUGCACAUGCAUCUAAAAUCAAAGUA